CAGAAUUGAGUUAAAUUUGAGGACACUCAGCUGGCGUCGCAGAAUUGCUUGGUGUGUAGAAAACCCACACAUCUGGUGUCAGAAGUCUUGUGAAGUGGAGUGUUCUGAGGCUUCCCUCGCUGGCCACUUCUGCCAUCGGAGGCUCUCAUGAUGUGACCGUUCGUCUUUAUUUUGAAACACUCAUCUCAAUUACUCCCUCCAAUACGUCAGGAAAGGAGGACCCUCACGACAAACACGACAUAGUCAUUGAAUUAACAGGAAAAUGGGGAAACUCUGGUGGAACUUUAUAGGAACAACAUCUACUAAAACCGGCUUUUCUUCAACAAAUGAGAAUAUGGAAGUAAUUUUGUGGCUAAUGAACACAGAAUACUUGAGAUACGCAGCAAGCUGCCAUGUAACUCUAGAUUCCUGAAAUUGGCGGUAUGAAAACAGCUCUAAGGCUGCUUUUGAGCAGGGAUUAUAGUCAAUCCUACACCACUAAAGUAAUUACAGCAGAAAAAAGAGACCAUUUUCAACAAAGUUGCAGAAUUUCUCUGAUUUGCAUUAAGUAUUUGUCAUUUUCUUGGCUUGU